rnacentral:rRNA from 1 species
CCUACGGGAGGCAGCAGUGGGGAAUAUUGGACAAUGGGGGCAACCCUGAUCCAGCCAUGCCGCGUGUGUGAAGAAGGCCUUCGGGUUGUAAAGCACUUUUGUUGGGGAAGAAACCGGCCGGGUUGAUACCCUGGUUGAAUGACGGUACCCAAAGAAUAAGCACCGGCUAACUUCGUGCCAGCAGCCGCGGUAAUACGAAGGGUGCAAGCGUUACUCGGAAUUACUGGGCGUAAAGCGUGCGUAGGCGGUUUGUUAAGUCUGCUGUGAAAGCCCUGGGCUCAACCUGGGAACUGCAGUGGAUACUGGCGAGCUAGAGUGUGUCAGAGGAUGGUGGAAUUCCCGGUGUAGCGGUGAAAUGCGUAGAGAUCGGGAGGAACACCAGUGGCGAAGGCGGCCAUCUGGGACAACACUGACGCUGAGGCACGAAAGCGUGGGGAGCAAACAGGAUUAGAUACCCUGGUAGUCCACGCCCUAAACGAUGCGAACUGGACGUUGGGCACACUUAGGUGCUCAGUGUCGAAGCUAACGCGUUAAGUUCGCCGCCUGGGGAGUACGGUCGCAAGACUGAAACUCAAAGGAAUUGACGG